GGCCAGCAGCCGCGGUAAUACGAAGGGUGCUAGCGUUGUUCGGAAUUACUGGGCGUAAAGAGCAUGUAGGCGGCGACAUAAGUCUGGCGUUAAAUCCUUGGGCUCAACCCAAGGGCUGCGCUUGAUACUGUGUUGCUAGAGCGCGAAAGAGAGAGGUGGAAUUCCUGGAGGAGCGGUAAAAUGCGUGGAUCUCAGGAGGAACAUCAAUGGCGAAGGCAGCUUCUUGGUUCGUGGCUGACGCUCAAACACGAAGGCGUGGGUAGCAAACAGGAUUAGAUA
rnacentral:rRNA from 1 species